GUNGGGUANNNGCCUUACNNNNNNCGACGAUUCGUUAGCUGGUUNNNAGAGGAUNNNNNAGCCACAUCCGGGACUGAGACACGGCCCCGGACUCCUACGGGAAGGCANNNNUGGGGAAUAUUGGACAAUGGGGGAAACCCUGAUCCCAGCCAUGCCGCGUGUGUGAAGAAGGCCUUUUGGUUGUAAAGCACUUUAAGCAGUGAAGAAGACUCCACGGUUAAUACCCGUGGACGAUGACAUUAGCUGCAGAAUAAGCACCGGCUAACUCUGUGCCAGCAGCCGCGGUAAUACAGAGGGUGCAAGCGUUAAUCGGAAUUACUGGGCGUAAAGCGAGCGUAGGUGGCUUGAUAAGUCAGAUGUGAAAUCCCCGGGCUUAACCUGGGAACUGCAUCUGAAACUGUCAGACUAGAGUAGGUGAGAGGGAGGUAGAAUUUCAGGUGUAGCGGUGAAAUGCGUAGAGAUCUGAAGGAAUACCGAUGGCGAAGGCAGCCUCCUGGCAUCAUACUGACACUGAGGCUCGAAAGCGUGGGUAGCAAACAGGAUUAGAUACCCUGGUAGUCCACGCCGUAAACGAUGUCUACUAGUCGUUGGGUCCCUUGAGGACUUAGUGACGCAGCUAACGCAAUAAGUAGACCGCCUGGGGAGUACGGCCGCAAGGUUAAAACUCAAAUGAAUUGACGGGGGCCCGCACAAGCGGUGGAGCAUGUGGUUUAAUUCGAUGCAACGCGAAGAACCUUACCUGGUCUUGACAUAUCUAGAAUCCUGCAGAGAUGCGGGAGUGCCUUCGGGAAUUAGAAUACAGGUGCUGCAUGGCUGUCGUCAGCUCGUGUCGUGAGAUGUUGGGUUAAGUCCCGCAACGAGCGCAACCCUUGUCCUUAGUUACCAGCGGGUUAAGCCGGGAACUCUAAGGAUACUGCCAGUGACAAACUGGAGGAAGGCGGGNNNNNNNUCAAGUCAUCAUGGCCCUUACGACCAGGGCUACACACGUGUUACUAUGGUAGGUACAGAGGNNNNNNACACAGCGAUGUGAUGCGAAUCUCAAAAAGCCUAUCGUAGUCAAGAUUGGAGUCUGCAACUCGAC
rnacentral:rRNA from 1 species